rnacentral:rRNA from 1 species
GAUGAACGCUGGCGGCGUGCCUAAUACAUGCAAGUCGAGCGAACAGACGAGGAGCUUGCUCCUCUGACGUUAGCGGCGGACGGGCGAGUAACACGUGGAUAACCUACCUAUAAGACUGGGAUAACUUCGGGAAACCGGAGCCAAUACCGGAUAAUAUAUUGAACCGCAUGGUUCAAUGGUGAAAGACGGCUUUGGCGUUACUUAUAGAUGGAUCCGCGCCGCAUUAGCUAGUUGGUAAGGUAACGGCAUACCAAGGCAACGUUCCGUAGCCGACCUGAGAGGAUGAUCAGCCACACUGGAACUGAGACACGGUCCAGACUCCUACGGGAGGCAGCAGUCGGGAAUCUUGCGCAAUGGGCGAAAGCCUGACCGAGCAACGCCGCGUGAGUGAUGAAGGUCUUCGGAUCGUAAAACUCUGUUAUUCGGGAAGAACAAAAGUGUAAGUAACUAUGCCCGUCCUGACGGUACCUAAUCAGUAAGCACCGGCUAACUACGUG